GAUGAAGAACGUAGCGAAAUGCGAUACUUGGUGUGAAUUGCAGAAUCCCGUGAACCAUCGAGUCUUUGAACGCAAGUUGCGCCCGAAGCCAUUAGGCCGAGGGCACGCCUGCCUGGGCGUCACACGUCGUUGCCCCCCCAUCUACUCCUUCGGGAUUGCGGGGGGCGGAUGAUGGCCUCCCGUGCGCCUCGUCGCGCGGUUGGCAUAAUUGCCAAGUCCUCGGCGACGCACGCCACGACAAUCGGUGGUUGCGAAACCUCGGUUGCCCGUCGUGUGCGGUCGUCGCGCAUCGAGGGCUCGAAAAAAUUGCCGGGCUCCGGCUCGGCUUUCAACGCGACCCCAGGUCAGGCGGGGUUACCCGCUGAAUUUAAGCAUAUCAAUAAGCGGAGGA
rnacentral:misc_RNA from 1 species